UACGAAGGGGGCUAGCGUUGUUCGGAAUUACUGGGCGUAAAGCGCACGUAGGCGGAUGUCUAAGUCGGGGGUGAAAGCCUUGGGCUCAACCCAAGAAUUGCCUUCGAUACUGGACAUCUCGAGACCGGGAGAGGUGAGUGGAAUUCCGAGUGUAGAGGUGAAAUUCGUAGAUAUUCGGAAGAACACCAGUGGCGAAGGCGGCUCACUGGCCCGGUUCUGACGCUGAGGUGCGAAAGCGUGGGGAGCAAACAGG
rnacentral:rRNA from 1 species